rnacentral:rRNA from 1 species
UGCGAGUCGAGCGGAUGACGGGAGGUUGCUCCUUGAUUCAGCGGCGGACGGGUGAGUAAUGCCUAGGAAUCUGCCUGGUAGUGGGGGACAACGUUUCGAAAGGAACGCUAAUACCGCAUACGUCCUACGGGAGAAAGCAGGGGACCUUCGGGCCUUGCGCUAUCAGAUGAGCCUAGGUCGGAUUAGCUAGUAGGUGAGGGAAUGGCUCACCUAGGCGACGAUCCGUAACUGGUCUGAGAGGAUGAUCAGUCACACUGGAACUGAGACACGGUCCAGACUCCUACGGGAGGCAGCAGUGGGGAAUAUUGGACAAUGGGCGAAAGCCUGAUCCAGCCAUGCCGCGUGUGUGAAGAAGGUCUUCGGAUUGUAAAGCACUUUAAGUUGGGAGGAAGGGCAGUAAGUUAAUACCUUGCUGUUUUGACGUUACCGACAGAAUAAGCACCGGCUAACUCUGUGCCAGCAGCCGCGGUAAUACAGAGGGUGCAAGCGUUAAUCGGAAUUACUGGGCGUAAAGCGCGCGUAGGUGGUUCGUUAAGUUGGAUGUGAAAGCCCCGGGCUCAACCUGGGAACUGCAUCCAAAACUGGCGAGCUAGAGUAUGGUAGAGGGUGGUGGAAUUUCCUGUGUAGCGGUGAAAUGCGUAGAUAUAGGAAGGAACACCAGUGGCGAAGGCGACCACCUGGACUGAUACUGACACUGAGGUGCGAAAGCGU